UUUGAAAAAGAUUCAAAUUUUCAUAUUUACUCUACUUAGAAAAUUAAUAUAAAAAAUAUUAUUUUAACAUCCAUUGCAAGUUCAAGCGGGGAGAUUGCGUUACGUGCGGUUAGAAAUGACGAUGGAAAAAUACGGUACGUAAUAUUGUGUUCCGCAUAUCGCGAUGAGUCGGUUACGAUAUAUUUUCUGCGGUCCCACCGGAGAACGCAGAAGCAUAUCCAUAUGCUUUUUCCUCAAAUCCAUUUCAUCUAAUAGUGUUAGAUAGAUUUCAAUACCAAACUAAGCCUAAAUAUACUCUUAUUACAGUUAAAUUCAGUUAGUGAAAGAUUAAGAACAAUCGUUAUAUCUGUAAAAUUACUAUUUUAUGCUUUCAAAUAUACUACUUUACCGUCGCGAACUUUUUUAUUUGUUCUUAAGUUAGGGACAUAAAAAGCAUUUUGACUUUUUUUUCUUUAAAUAUAUUUUUUUAUCGUCAUCAAUUUUUCUUAUUUGCUCUAAAGUUAGGAGCAAUAAAAGUAUUUUGACUUCUUUUUAACUCUGAUAGAAAUUUAACUGAGCUUUAAGUCAUCUGUUAUUCUUGAAUAACGAAAAAAUAUACGAAAAUAUAUUUGAAACAAAAAAAUAUAGAAAUAUAUAAGAUAUUUCAGAAAUUUUAAGAAGUAUAUAGAUUUUUCUUUUUAUCGGGCAAUGCUACUGUUAGUGGAGGAUUAAUUU
rnacentral:lncRNA from 1 species